rnacentral:rRNA from 1 species
UACAGAGGUCUCGAGCGUUGUUCGGAUUCAUUGGGCGUAAAGGGUGCGUAGGUGGCGCCGUAAGUCGGGUGUGAAAUUUCGGAGCUUAACUCCGAAACUGCAUUCGAUACUGCGGUGCUUGAGGACUGGAGAGGAGACUGGAAUUCAUGGUGUAGCAGUGAAAUGCGUAGAGAUCAUGAGGAAGACCAGUGGCGAAGGCGGGUCUCUGGACAGUUCCUGACACUGAGACACGAAGGCCAGGGGAGCAAACGGG